rnacentral:lncRNA from 1 species
UAAUGAGGUCAGCGGGCUUGACCUGUGUGGCCACUGCAGUGUCCCUCUGAGGACCUCUGAGGGGAACUUCUAGGAAGAAACAGAACGGAGGAUCCCUCUGCUGUGCCACAUGACUGCUCUGGACUGUGAGCCCCUGGAGGGCGGAGGUAAGAUCUUAUUCAUGUUUAUAUCUUCAGCUUUUAGGGAAAAAGCUGGAUCAUUGUGUGCACUCAACAGAAUUUUUUUUUUCCUUUUUGUUUUUUGAGACAGGGUCUCACUGUGGAGUCUAGGCUGGCCUCAAACUGUGGCAAUUCUCCUGCCUCAGCCUUCUGAUUGCUGGGAUUACAGCUCAGCUGUGGGGAAGCAGCUGGAAGGCACUGCUCCAGGCUCUCCGGGCUGCUGAGGCCCUGCACAUGCUGUUCCCCACGGGGACGCCCUUCCAGCCCUCGCCAUUCCACCUUCAAACUCUGUGGGGCUGGGCUUAGGCCCCUCUCCUGUCUUUAUUUAAAAUGUCAAUAUUUAUUUUGUGUGACAGAAUUUUUAGCUUUAAUUUUGAUUUUUACAAAAAUUGUAUUAAAAUAUUAUCGUGAUUAUUGGGGUUUUGAGCCUCCUUCAGAUUUUCACCCAAGAGCCUCACCCGCCUGGGCCUGUCCUGGUGCUGUCACCUCCCAGGGACGGUGGAUUGGUCCAUGGGCCCUGGCGCUACCUCUGCAGCACCCAGGCCCCGUCACUCCCCAGUUCCCUAUGCCCACCCCGUGUCCUCCCUACACCUGGCAGGGCAGCCUGCAUGGGGCACAAUUCCUACAAACCUUAAAAUAUCAACAAAUAGAAUAAACUCUGAGAAAAGCUUAAAAUGUUCCCUAUAAGCCAGUCCAGGUGGUGCACACCUGUAUCUCAGCACUCCUAGGAGCCGAGGCAGGAGGAUCCCAAGUUUGAGCCCAGCCUGAGCAACUUAGUGAGACGCUGUCUCCAAAUAAAAUAAAAAGGGCUGGGAUGUAGCUCAGAGUGAAGGCCGGGGGCGGGGGACUGUGGAGUUUCCUCUAAGUGCAAGGUCACCUGCAACUCGGUUAUUAACUCCCAAGCCAGGGCCAAGUUUCUUUCUGCUUCAACUCCAUCAAUCCACAGA